rnacentral:lncRNA from 1 species
GGGGCAAGACGAUAGAAAUAAAGAGUGCGAUUGAUUACAAUCAUUUGUUAACAUCCCAUGAUGUUAGUUUCAAUACUUCCCUAAUUAACAAAAAAAAAUAGAUAAUAUUCAAGGUUUUGCAUAACAUUUGUAGCAAAUUAAUAUUAAUGAGUUAGUGCAUCUUCUAAACUUGUAGCUUCGCUGAAGAAUGAACAAAAGUUGGGCAGAAAACUUAAUGUUAAGUCUUUGUCAAGUGAUAUCCAGAAACAUCUACAAAAGCUGCAGGAAAUAAGAAAAAACUAUUAGAUAAACUUCUAGAUACAUUAAUCAAGAAUCCAACAUUUAUUUUGAAGAACCAUAACUAUAUAUAUAAUAUUUAGUAGAACAACUUUGCAGCAAUGGUAAAACAGAAAAUGGGCAUGUUCUGGAUGAACAACUGGACAGAAAAUGGUAAAACAGAGAAGCUGACAGCAAUAUAUGCAGCAUAUUUUAAAACAAAGUUUGUGCGGUUAUGCAGCUGUGCAGAAAAUGAAAAACAGAGCCUAACAUAAUUAAGAAAGUUCUGCAGUUAUCUUCUUAAUGUUGCACCCACAGGGAUAUUUCAUAUUCAAAUUCCAAUCAACAAAGGAUAGGGAUCAGAUCCUACAAGCCGGGCCUUACACGUAUAAGAACAAACCUAUGGUGUUCAAGUUGUGGGAGGUCGAUUUUUCUUUCAACUAGGAUGUGUUGAGUAUCAAUCCACUAUCGCCUUGAGUGUUGGUAUAACAAGGACACAAAGGAGCAGCAAGAUUGUGCAGAAAAGGAGUUCGAACAGCCUUAAAAAAAAAGAGAAACAUGAAGAAAAAGGUAGCCAUUUCUCUCGACUUGAGUGGUUGCAACUCCAGCCGAAAGGAUUUUCGUAGUAAGUCCAAUAAUUCAAGUGAAUCUCUUGUAGGUUGUUUGAUAAACCAAUGGUACAAAGGUGACGAUGCAUGGAUAACUGAAAUCGAUGAAAAAAUUGUUAAGGGCUCACAAUGAUAUCUGAUGUACUAUGUACAGAAGAUGCUCUACCACAAGAGUUGUGAGGAUGUUAGCUGCCAGCCAAUUUUCCUGCGAGCAGAUAUAUUUGUUCCGAUAGUUGGUUUUUUUAGAACUUUAGAGUUUUGUGUGUCGGACUGGAAGGCCUUCUACAUAAUUAUGGCUAGCUAGGGAAUAGUAUUCAGUCAGGCCCGUAAAGCAUGAUGGUAAGUCUAGGGAUUCUCCAUAAGUGAUCUCAUUUCCCGUUGGUUUGUCAAAGAGUUAUUAUGGUAGAGAAGUUAUCAAUAAGUUGCAGGAGGAUUAAAUAUGUUGCAGCAGUGCAUAAAAUAGUAAAACAGAGAAGCAGUAGUGCAUAAAGAAAUGUUCUUGUCAGUACAAGCUGGGAAAGGAUUCUCUAUCAAGAAAUGUUGAAGCAGUGCAUAAGAAAAUAAAACAGAGAAGCUGGCAGCAAUGUUGUAGCAGUACAAAAAAAAUUAAAUUUUUUUUGUAUCAUUAUGCAACUAUGCAGAAAAUAAAAUGAGGGACUACAAAUGUGUGGUAUGAGAAUCGGACUACAAUAAUUAGUUCCUUCUGAAUUAAAGAUUAACGAAAAUUUGGAGGAUGUAUCGGAGCUUAUUAGAUCUAAGAAUGAAUAAGGAUUUCUCAUUAUUGAGAUUUACCUAAGACUGUACAAAUAGGUGUAUGUUCAAAAAUGGCUUUCCUUAUUUGAAGUCCCUUUUAGUUGCUCAAUCAUUCAAAACAUUCUCUUGAAUGUUUGGUGGUAUACAUGUACAACUGUGCAUUUCCUUAGUCUAUCUGUACAGUAGAAAGUCUUGUAGAGUAGACUAAUCAGAAAAAACGAUUGAUCAAUUUUUAUCUGGCUUAACUCAACUGUCUUAGAAUCAAGCUUUAGUACUUGCUGCCAUCUAGGCUUCACAGUUAAGAAAAGUUUGUCAUUUUUGCUCCCUUUACUGUAAAGGUGAAAUGACUCAAAUGAUGUUCAAAGCUUUACAUAGACUGCUGCCUUUUUUAAUGAAUGGGAGGUAGAACUUGCCCUGUGUCUCAUACACUACUUAUCAGACAUUAAUAUCUAGGACCUUAGGUGUAGAGACAUAUUUCUGCCUUCAUCUUAUGCAGACUAAUGGUAAGUUGUUGUGGAUAAGAACUAAUCAAAGAAGAGAAGGAUAGAAGGCGAACAACUAUUUAUGUAAGUACACAAUCUGCCACAUGUUGAAAGAUUUGUUGUGUGUGGUAUUAGCAUUAUUCAUCCUACUAGAAUUCUUGCAAUAUGAGGUAGUAUGUACAAACACAGCCACAAGAAGAUAGUACACCGUUGACCAUAAGUCAUGUUGUAACCAGAUAGUAUAGCGAGAGAACCCGGUAGGUAAGUUUCAACAACAUUUUCAUAUUUUCAAUAACCUAUGCUAGGGUGCGAACACUAUGGCUGCGUCGUCUGCUCUAUUUUUUGACUUAUCCUUGAGAAAUGCUCAAAUUGGUGUCAGAAUCAUAGUACCUGGUGAGGGCCUAGAAGGACUUUUAUAUGUUUCUAGCCAAAGCUGAAUAGUUCAUAUUCAAAUUCCAAUCAACAAUAAAACAAUAAAACAGAGAAGCAGCCGUGCAUAAAGAAAUAUUCUUGUCAGUACAAGCUGGGAAAUGUUGCAGUAGUGCAUAAAACAAUAAAACAGAGAAGCUGGCAGUAGAAAAAAAAAUUGUGUCGUUAGAAUUUUAUUUCCAGAAUUUUUGCAGCAGCACAAUUUUUUUUUUAAAAAAAAUUGCGUCGUUAUGCAACUGUACAGAAAAUAAAAGGAGGGACUACAAAUGUCUGGCAUGAAAAUGUGACUAAAUUGGGUUGUCUAUAUCACAUAGUUCCUUCUGAAUUCAAGAUUAACGAAAAUUUGGAGGAUGUAUCGGAGCUUAUUACUGAAGGAUCCCGGAAUGAACAGAUUCUACAACGAAAUUGCCCUGAAGACAUUGUAGAGCACAUUAAGAAGGAAAUACAAGUUGAUAAACUAACAUGAUACUGGGACAAACCAUGGUGGAUGGCCACCAGUACAGGUAAAUUCACAGUUAACAGUGCAUAGAAUAUAAUCAGAAACAAAGGAUCCCCUAACUAAGAUUACUCACAGAUGUGGGAUACAGGGCUGCCAUUCAAAUCAAGUUACA